rnacentral:tRNA from 1 species
GGGGCUGUGGCUCAGUGAUGGAGCUUCUGCUUGGCAUACAGAAGAUCCCAAGUUCAAUCCCUGGCAUCCUCA